AGCCUGAGUUUCUCUUCAUUUGUCGCACAAAUCUUUCGCCUUUUACUACAGGUUUCCGUGGAGGGGAGCUUAUGCGAGUGACUGCACUUGUGGCUUUUGGGGCUCUGCUCACAG
ensembl:snRNA U5 U5 spliceosomal RNA